rnacentral:rRNA from 1 species
CGGUGCGAUCAUACUAGUAUUAAUACAUCAGAUCUUAUCAGGACUUCGUAGUUAAGGUGUUUGAACAAUAAUAGUAAUAGGAUGAGUGAUCUCUUCAAAAGUCUUGUGUUGCACCCC